UUUCUUCUCUAUUACACUAUAUCAUUUUAUGCUGGUAGUUUACCAUCUUGGUCAUUUCAUAUAUGCCGUUAUUUGUAAGCAUUUAUCUUGCUGUGGAUUGAGGGUUCGGGCUAGAAUUUAAUUUGGUGACUUCUGACCUGUAACUUCUCCUGUUAUGUUUAACUUUGAAACGCUUUCAAACAAUUUGGCUUGUGAGCUAUAAAUUAAUCGCCUUUUUUCGUUCUGGGUCUGAUUACUGAGCCGGGAGGGAAAAUAAAGAAAGAAUCUCAGCACCGAUUAAGCUCAUUUUUACUACUGCUUCCGUUGGUACAGCCAGAGAGGAACUCAAACAUUGUCUCCCGAUCUAUUAUUUCAAGAUGGAAUUGAACUGCUAGGACAAUUUGAAUGAUUACGUUCAUCAUUCAAAUGGUAAAAUUCCAUUGCAAAAUGCAGAGCCUAAUUCUAGAAUGCUCUACUUAAUAUUUUCCAAUAAAUGUUGUAUUUGAAAUUUUAGAUUUGAUUAAAAAUAAGGAGUGACCACCACCCUCUUGUUCGAGUUUAAAUGUGAGGUGCGAGAAAGUGGUAAAAAAUUGUGGAAUAAAACUGUUGUGUGGAUAAAUGGUGCAUAAGAUCUUGUGAGGUGCUUGCUUUAGCAGUAUUAUGCUGCAAAUUUAUUGUAUUUGAUAAAUUUUAUCAUUGAAUCAGCAUGUUCAAGCUAAUGCUCAGUACGAGGGAAUGUACACUUCUCUCAUUUAAUGUGGAAUUAGGGUUUAAAAAUAGAAUGAAAUAUCUUUAGUUUUUCUAAGUGGUAAUUUGGGCUUGGGUGCAGGUGAGUUUGAGCGAGUAGCAGGACACACAUCAAAAGUAAAAGUGUGUGGUAAAAGUGCACACAUAUGGCACACAGUUUGUUAUUACUGCAUUCAACUAUUUGUUUUUGUGCAACUGGUGCUGAAAUUGGCAUAUUUUGUUAUGUAUAAAGGUACAGGUGAUUUGGGCGAGCGACCCAGUUUCACAAUGGAGAGGAGGAG
rnacentral:misc_RNA from 1 species